CCCUACGGGGUGCACCAGGCAACACCGGCAAUGACACCCUCAUUGGCGGUGAGGGCAGCGACACCUACCUAUUCAAUAUUGGCGACGGUCAGGACACAGUAACUGAGUACGAUGCAGGGGGCAACGAUACGGAUACCAUAAAGUUCGGCCCCGGCAUCACAAAGGACGACAUCCUCAUUACCAGAAGGGAUGCAAACCUUGCCUUUGAGAUCAAGAACACGACCGACAGCAUCACCAUAGAGGGCUGGUACAGCGGUGGGAAUUCUCCUAAAAUAGAGACCCUUCUCUUCGAUGACGCUACCACCAUGACACAAGCUGAGAUAGAGAGUAAGGCAACGUUCCGGGGGACAAACGGCAAUGAUUACCUUGGCGGGAGAGC
rnacentral:rRNA from 1 species